rnacentral:tRNA from 1 species
GGGUAGCCAAGUGGUCAACGGCGCAAGGUUGAGGGCCUUGUUCCUUAGUGGAUUCGUGAGUUCGAAUCUCACCCCCCGCA